rnacentral:rRNA from 1 species
AUACGUAGGUGGCAAGCGUUGUCCGGAAUUAUUGGGCGUAAAGCGCAUGUAGGCGGUUUGGUAAGUCGGUCGUGAAAAUGCGGCGCUUAACGCCGUAUGGCGAUUGAAACUGCUGAACUUGAGUGCAGGAGAGGAAAGGGGAACUCCCAGUGUAGCGGUGAAAUGCGGAGAUAUUGGGAAGAACACCGGUGGCGAAGGCGCCUUUCUGGACUGUGUCUGACGCUCAGAUGCGAAAGCCAGGGUAGCGAACGGGAUUAGAUACCCCGGUAUUCCUGGCCGUAAACGAUGGGUACUAGGUGUGGGAGGUAUCGACUCCUUCCGUGCCGGAGUUAACGCAAUAAGUACCCCGCCUGGGGAGUACGGCCGCAAGGCUUAAACUCAAAUGAAUUGACGGGG